ensembl:lncRNA
GAACAUAGCAGCUGAGAUUGAGGAAAUCAAUCUGAGAAUCUGGAAGCUGGAAAUAGAGAUCAACAUGCUUCAGAGGCGAUUGUUUCAGGUCUCAACACAACCACCUCCUGUAAGAAUAAAGCUGAAGAUCAUGUGACCUUUACGAUCCAUGAAGUUUUGGGGCUUUUUUUUUCUCCUUUCUCCUCGCUCCUCCUGAAGUUGCGCAAUAUGCUACCUUUAAAAGUAUGAAAUGCUCGCUGAGCUGCUCAGAACGAAAGAGAAAGCAGGAACAUGCCAGAGAGCCGGUUGAGGGACACGAAUCGGGUGAGGGACAUGUACGAGGGAGUUGAUCCAGGUCAAAUGAAUGAGAGACAAAAAAAAGCACACAGAGACAGAACUCUUAUGAGGAACCCAGAUGUUCUCUUUAAAAUAUAUCAACUGGGAAAGCUCCAUGUGCUGCUUUUUACACCGAAAAACAAUGAGGAGGAGUGGAUGAGGGUGAUUCAGGACAUGUUUUCAGAUAAGCUGUCUAAUCAGCUGACCAGGAGACGUGCUGUACACGGUCAUUUACCAGUUAUAAACAUGUCUGGUUCUGAGGAGGAGCUUGAGUGUGUCUGUGACUGGUUUGAUCAGCUCGACAAUGAGGUCCAGGAAAACGUUCUUGAUGGAGAAGCAGCAAAGAAGAAACUAGCACCGAGGAACAUAGCAGCUGAGAUUGAGGAAAUCAAUCUGAGAAUCAGGAAGCUGGAAAUAGAGAUCAACAUGCUGCUGAGGCGAUUGGCUGAGGUGCAAACCCGAGGACAGUGAUGCGCUGGUCUUCUUUCAUCACUACAGUGGAAGAGGAUCAAGUUAAACACACAGUCUCCUCCAAAAGUACUGGAACAACAAGGCUAAUACUAUUGUUUGUGCUAUACACUGAGGACAUUUGGGUUUGAGUGGACAGAGGGGAGCUGUGGAUGGAGCGGAGGAAGGAGAGAGAGGAGGAGAAGAAAGAGAGAGUGCGAGAGAGAGACAGAGAGAGAACGUGAAGCAGCUUGCCGCACCAGGUGAUCUUCUGCUAGACGCCAGAAUCAUCACGCGUUACCCUCCGGUUCAACUCGCCUUCUCUCCAUCCACAGCUGACACUUGACCACGCCCCCAACAUGGAUUCUUUCUCUUUUCUUUUAUUUAUGAAUUUUUUUAUGAAAUACAAAAUUGUUGUAUUGGCUAUGCUCAGUGCUUGUGCACGUAUAUCUGUACAUUAAAUCAAAACGAUAGUGAACACAGAGGUGGCGCUGUUUCGUACACACACUUUCUUCUUCCACCCUCAGUAACUGUGAUCGCUACACUCUUCCUCUAGGGUUCUUUAUACAGCUUCUUCUCGAAUUAGGGUUUUCCAUUAACUAGCAGGUUUGUAUUUCAGUUUCUUGUUAAAUCUAGUCUAAAAGAGGACUUGUGGCCCCUUAUGAAUCACUUAACGGAUCAUUCAAUGAAUCAAUAAACGGAUCAUUUAAUGAAU